CUUUCUUCGUCCCUCUCGCAAGAAGAGAACUUCUGUUGGGAUUUCUAAAACUGAAGAGGGAUUAGGGUUCAGAGAAUGAGCCAAGCAGUGAGAUCGUGAAAUCCACAAGAAGAUCCGACUCUAAGCAAAGCAUCGGGAAUCACCGUGACAAUCGGGAUCUACUCUGAGUACAUCAGCACCGCCUCCAACACCGCCACCGCUACUGAGGGCGGUGAUGGUGUCGAGGCUGACGGCCCUCAAUGAAGCUCCGAGAAGAGUGAAUAGCCAGAGGGUCGGUGGGUUCACUAGCGACGAAGAGGGAGAGCUUGAGGAAGGAGGAGUCCGGCAUGGCGACGGGACUGAAGAGGAGAGAGCUUGAGGCAAUAGAGAGAGAGCUUGAGGAAGGAGUCAGGCAUGGCAACGGGGACUAAAAAGGAGUUAGUCUCCACUUGCCAUCUGCCAAGACUUUCACGGCACCGCCUCUGGAGCCUCUUCUCCUCCCUCGGCUUAGGUGUCAGGUGGGAGGGACUGGAGACGGGUGCGUGGGUGGUGGUGGUAUUUGGGCCAGUGGGUGGGCC
rnacentral:lncRNA from 1 species